GAUGAAGAACGUAGCGAAAUGCGAUAAGUAAUGCGAAUUGCAGAAUUUCCGUGAGUCAUCGAAUCUUUGAACGCACAUUGCGCCCACCGGUAUUCCGGUGGGCAUGCCUGUUCGAGCGUCAUUAUCCUCCCUCAAACCCCGGGUUUGGUGUUGGACCUCAAGUUGUGCGAACAACUGGUCUUAAAGACAAUGACGGCGUCCGGAGGACCCUCGGUGCAACGAGCUUUCGGGAGCACGCGUCGAGUUUCAAGGACCUUCCGGCCCGGUCUCUUUACUCCUUUCACAAGGUUGACCUCGGAUCAGGUAGGAAUACCCGCUGAACUUAAGCAUAUCAAUAAGCGGAGGA
rnacentral:misc_RNA from 1 species